UCAUCAGCAUCACCACAUACAUCUUUGGUGCUUUCUUUUUUUUUUCCUUUUAUUCUUACCUUCCUUGCAUUCUCCAGAACGGAAACGAGCAUCGAUCAUCAACCUUCACAGCCACGCUACUGCGCACUGGCACGCACGGAGGACUCGCAACAAGAUCAACAACACCCGCAAAAGCACAAGGAGGGGCAGGCAGACGCACAUACGCCUCCUCCCACCAUCUUUUCUCUAGAAGAGCACGCCGCCGGCGCUCAGGAGAACGCACACGCACACGCAGUUGUGGUGACAGCGUCGCUGAAAAAUGGCUCAGCAGCAUCCACACCGACGCUACGAGGGGUACGCAUACCCUACCGAGUUCCAAUCCGCGCCGACAGGCAGUCGCGACAGUGGUGGCGGUGCGUACUUCGGCAGAGAGCGGAUACCGUCGCCCUCUGCUACCUCACUCUCCGGCGCCACCGGCCUCGUUCGGCGCUCUGUGCAGCACACUGGUGCCGCCGCCGUGGCCACUGCUUCCACCGGUGCCAACGCUGCCAGCUACCAGGGAUCGUACGGCUACUUUCACGGGCAAGGUAACAGCAUUGACAUCACCAGCGGCUACAACAGCGAUGCCGGGAGCUCGACGUCAAACCCGCUAUACGGAGGCGGCGGCAGAAGCGGGUACAUAGUCCCGAAUACCUCGUCACAGCACCAGGAGGUGGUGGUGGGAACUAGUCGAAGCUCCGCUGGGGCGUCCGGUGCGAACUCUACAGAGCCUUCGCCUGGUGUGUGGGCAGCAGAGCCCGGCGUGAACGGCCUGACCGCGAGCGGCCGUCGGCUCUCAAAGCUUCCGCCGCGACUGCAUGAGCCUGGAAUUUUCCAGCCCUCCAGCGACGGCAGCGCUGGCUCAAUCACGAACAGCACCAUCGGCAGCAACUCAGCGCGUCCACCGACUCAGCAAACGUUUCUGCCGUCGGAGCCGUUAAUGCAGCCCCUGCCGCUUGCUGCAUCACAGCACCGUCGGCAUCAUUAUCAGCAGCAGCCAUAUGUGGUGUCGAUGCCGUCGUCGGCGGCCAGCAACCUGCAGCGGGGGACGGCAAGCGGGGCGGCGCCGCCGGAGGCUGCAUUUGUGCAGCACAGCAGCUCGUGCGCGGCGAGCCCUAUCAAUAUGAGUGGCCCGCGCAUGCCAGCUGCCUACGAUGCUUCGGCCAGUCCGAACAUUGCCGGCGGCGCUGUGUUCGGUAGCGGCCGUACGAGUGGGUUUUUGGGUCGCCUCAUAGCGCAGGUUCUGCCGGUGGUAGACGACAGUGCCGGAGACCCUGGCAGCGGGAUCGGUGCUGGCAGUGCAGCCCCCAUCGGUGAGCGUCCCCUGCAUCAGCUCCGCUUUGGAAACCCCGCCGACGACCUGCCGUUACUCGAGGAACUUGGUAUCUUUCCACGGCAUAUAUUGGGCAAGGCGCGCGCCGUGCUGAACCCCUUCAAGUCAAUAAGCGUCGACGCCGCGAAGGACACCGACCUGGCAGGUCCCGUCCUCUUCGCCCUCUCGUUAGCGGUGCUGCUAUCACUGCGUGGCAAAAUACAGUUCAGCGCGAUCUACGGCCUUUUCAUGCUCGGCGUCGGGUUCUUCAAGAUGCUCCUGUCACUCAUGCAGCCGCGCGGCGGUGUCCCACUACAGUUUGUCGCGAGUACGAUCGGCUACGGUCUGCUUCCGACGGUGCUGCUCGCCGCCGUGCGCACCGUUGGCUCGUGGAUUAUGGGCCUCCGCGGCGUGCUGCCUCUUACGCUGCUGAUGGUUGCGUGGUCGUCGUGGUGCGGAACGACGCUCGUGGCGAAGGGGCUAGGGAUGGAGGAGCAGCGCUACCUUGUCCUGUACCCGAUGCUUCUCUUCUACUCCACCUUCAAUGUUGUGGCCGUGUACUAGGCGGCUGUGUGCGUGUCGAUGCAAGGCUUGAGUGGAGGGGGAGAUAAAGAGGCGGCGCAAGUGCGCUGGUGCUCGCUUUUCUCCUUCCUCUCACAGCGCGCGUCCGGGUGCGUGUGACUGUGCCCCUCAGUGCCUGGCGAGGAGCCAGACGAUGUGGUGAAUCGACAAAUCAGGCUGAGGGAGGGCAGGGCAGCAACGGCGGAGGGUGAAGGGAGACACACCCCGCGGAGAUCGCAGACAUCACUGGGCUCACAGAGACGACUGCGGCUGCACCACCGUUGUGAACCCUUUCAUUUUGUGUGUCCUUCUCCCUCCCUGCUCCUUCCACUGUGUGUAUGCGUAUGUGUCUGUGUGUGUGUCUGUGUAUGUGUGUGCUAGCAUGUUAAGCAAUGGCUUGCGUUCCCUCUACCUCCCUCCCUCCCUCCCUCCCUCCCCACACUUUCUAUUUACCCGUGACGGAACCCCUCCUUCUCUUCCCUUGCCUCGCCAGGCCACGAGAACGGCCCUUAUCAACUGACAGCAGCCAGCCUAUCCACGCAACCAUUUUUGUGUGCAAGUGUGAAUGCGGCAUGAGGAGGAGGGGAGUGUGCGGCUGCC
rnacentral:misc_RNA from 1 species